AUAAAUUUUUCUUAAGGGAAAUCUUUGAGAAAACAAGCAAGUGAAAAAAAUGUGAAGAAGUUACCUCCCAUCUUAUAGGCAUGAGGAAUUACUAUUUACUUACAGAUUUUCGGACACAAACUUCGCUCAAAUACACCAAUCUCGUCCGAACACGCCAUACCGUGCGUUAGAAUCUCACUGGAAAUCCACGAUUCUAACGGGCCGGGGGCCUAACUGUUGGGGUCGAAAACGGUCACGACGAAGUUAAAGUCCAUGUCUCCGCAAUAUAUAAGUAUGACUCUCCGCAACAUACCUUUACGAGAUAAAGUUUCAUCUCGAACUUCAUUUAGAUCAAACAUAAGCCAUCAAAAACAUACCCAAAACAAUUACGGAUAAGUUCGAGUUUGACAAUCGGAACACGGCCAAACCAAGCUCGGUCAUUGCGCAACUGCCGCACAUGCACGCUGUCCGGUCGCUACGUAGGGACCGAGCUCGAGCUAAAGCCCGGUCGAUACGUAACAACCAAGCUCGGUGAAGCUCGGUUGCUACGUAGCGACCGAGCUAGCGACCGAGCUCGAGCCAAAGCUCGGUUGCUACGUAGCGACCAAGCAUUCGUCCCGCUCGGUCGCUACGUAACGACCGAGCGUCCAUCCCGCUCGGUCGCUAUGUAGCGACCGAGCUCUUCCAAAACGUCGAUACGACACUUGUCCAUGCAUUCUCGUCUAUCCUUCGAUGCUAUCUCCCAAAGACCGUAGCGAACUCAGUUCAUGUUUUCCACCAAUCUAAAUCGUUGAUCAAACUUUGCGGUUAAAACCACGGAAAGUUCAUUCUUUAUCGAAAGAAGUCUCAGUAAACGCUUCCAAUCGGAAGACGGCCCAAAGGGAACUAAGACAUGACUCGAGGCCCAUCCUACGAUUUCUUAACCAAAAGCCCGUAAACCGUAGCACGGCUUACGCUUGGAACGCAAGGAAGGAUAAAUAUCAAGUUUCCGCGGAUAAAUACGAAAUUUUGAGGAUAAAUACGAAGAUCGGAAAAAAUAGAAUAUCUCCAUUUUAUGCUAUCACGGCUUAAGGGCAGAAGAGUAAAAGCGUAAACCGACCUUGGAGCGAGUAUAUAAGGAGUCCUAGGCGAGAGGCAUAAAAGGGAGAACUUUUCAGAGCAAACUUAGCACAUAGAGCAAUUUAGGCAUAUAUUCGUUUUUGUUAUUCGAGCUGCGACUCAAUUAGGUUAUUGCCGUCUUAGGGUUUUAGAACUAGGAAUCUCGCCAACAGCUCUCGUAGCCCAAGCACUUACCUUGUUGUAACGCUCAAACGCGAAUUCGGAAUAAGAUCUACUUUGCUCUCUUUUCGAUUUCUUAUAAUUUAUCGUCGUUAUUCUCGUGUUCUGAUUGCUUGACGUGUGGUAUUAGCAGAUAUCCGGGACCUCUGUGAAAUUAGGGUUUUCCUAGUUUCAUAAUUUUAACGGAAAUCGACAGUGCGAAUUUCGGUUCCCACACUCAUAACCGCAUCAGGUCUCCAAGGUGAACAGCCUCUGGUCGAUGGAACAAUGUAGGCAAGGGAAGUUGCCAAAAUGGAUCCGUAACUUCGGGAAAAGGAUUGGCUCUGAGGGCUGGGCUCGGGGGUCCCAGUUCCUAACCCGUCGACUGUUGGCGGGCUGCUUGAGCUGCUAACGUGGCGAGAGCGGACUGCCUCGUGCCGGCCAGGGGACAAACUGGGAACGACUCUUUCGGGAUCUUUCCCCGGGCGUCGAACAGCCAACUCAGAACUGGUACGGACAAGGGGAAUCCGACUGUUUAACUAAAACAAAGCAUUGCGAUGGUCCCUGCGGAUGCUAACACAAUGUGAUUUCUGCCAAGUGCUCUGAAUGUCAAAGUGAAGAAAUUCAACCAAGCGCGGGUAAACGGCGGGAGUAACUAUGACUCUCUUAAGGUAGCCAAAUGCCUCGUCAUCAAAUUAGUGACGCGCAUGAAUGGAUUAACGAGAUUCCCACUGUCCCUGUGUACUAUCCAGCGAAACCACAGCCAAGGGAACAGGCUUGGCAGAAUCAGCGGGGAAAGAAGACCUUGUUGAGCUUGACUCUAGUCCGACUUUGUGAAAUGACUUGAGAGGUGUAGAAUAAGUGGGAGCUCCAGCCCAAGUGAAAUAUCACUACUUUUAACGUUAUUUUACUUACUCCGUGAAUCAGAGGCGGGGUAAAAGCUCAACGAGAACAUAAAUCUCAUGUGGAACAAAAGGGUAAAAGCUCGUUUGAUUCUGAUUUUCAGUACGAAUAUGAACAGUGAAAGCGUGGCCUAUCGAUCCUUUAGACCUUUGGAAUGUGCCAGCCAAGCGUUCAUAGCGACGUUGCUUUUUGAUCUUUCGAUGUCGGCUCUUCGUAUCAUUGUGAAGCAGAAUUCACCAAGUGUUGGAUUGUUCACCCACCAAUAGGGAACGUGAGCUGGGUUUAGACCAUCGUGAGACAUGUUAGUUUUACCCUACUGAUGCCCGUGUCGCAAUAGUAAUUCAACCUAGUACGAGAGGAACCGCUGAUUCGCACAAUUGGUCAUCGCGCUUGGUUGAAAAGCCAGUGGCACGAAGCUACCGUGCGCUGGAUUAUGACUGAACGCCUCUAAGUCAGAAUCUGGGCUAGAAGCGACGCAUGCGCCCGCCGCCUGAUUGCCGACCCUCAAUAGGAGCUUCGGUUCCCAAAGGCACGUGUCGUUGGCAAAGUCCGUUUGGCGGAAGUGCCGUUCGGACCGCCUUGAAUUAUAAUUACCACCGAGCGGC
rnacentral:rRNA from 1 species